AUACAUGCAAGUCGAGCGAAUGGAUUAAGAGCUUGCUCUUAUGAAGUUAGCGGCGGACGGGUGAGUAACACGUGGGUAACCUGCCCAUAAGACUGGGAUAACUCCGGGAAACCGGGGCUAAUACCGGAUAACAUUUUGAACUGCAUGGUUCGAAAUUGAAAGGCGGCUUCGGCUGCACUUAUGGAUGGACCCGCGUCGCAUUAGCUAGUUGGUGAGGUAACGGCUCACCAAGGCAACGAUGCGUAGCCGACCUGAGAGGGUGAUCGGCCACACUGGGACUGAGACACGGCCCAGACUCCUACGGGAGGCAGCAGUAGGGAAUCUUCCGCAAUGGACGAAAGUCUGACGGAGCAACGCCGCGUGAGUGAUGAAGGCUUUCGGGUCGUAAAACUCUGUUGUUAGGGAAGAACAAGUGCUAGUUGAAUAAGCUGGCACCUUGACGGUACCUAACCAGAAAGCCACGGCUAACUACGUGCCAGCAGCCGCGGUAAUACGUAGGUGGCAAGCGUUAUCCGGAAUUAUUGGGCGUAAAGCGCGCGCAGGUGGUUUCUUAAGUCUGAUGUGAAAGCCCACGGCUCAACCGUGGAGGGUCAUUGGAAACUGGGAGACUUGAGUGCAGAAGAGGAAAGUGGAAUUCCAUGUGUAGCGGUGAAAUGCGUAGAGAUAUGGAGGAACACCAGUGGCGAAGGCGACUUUCUGGUCUGUAACUGACACUGAGGCGCGAAAGCGUGGGGAGCAACAGGAUUAGAUACCCUGGUAGUCCACGCCGUAAACGAUGAGUGCUAAGUGUUAGAGGGUUUCCGCCCUUUAGUGCUGAAGUUAACGCAUUAAGCACUCCGCCUGGGGAGUACGGCCGCAAGGCUGAACUCAAAGGAAUUGACGGGGGCCCGCACAAGCGGUGGAGCAUGUGGUUUAAUUCAAGCAACGCGAAGAACCUUACCAGGUCUGACAUCCUCUGAAAACCCUAGAGAUAGGGCUUCUCCUUCGGGAGCAGAGUGACAGGUGUGCAUGGUUGUCGUCAGCUCGUGUCGUGAGAUGUUGGGUUAAGUCCCGCAACGAGCGCAACCCUUGAUCUUAGUUGCCAUCAUUAAGUUGGGCACUCUAAGGUGACUGCCGGUGACAAACCGGAGGAAGGUGGGGAUGACGUCAAAUCAUCAUGCCCCUUAUGACCUGGGCUACACACGUGCUACAAUGGACGGUACAAAGAGCUGCAAGACCGCGAGGUGGAGCUAAUCUCAUAAAACCGUUCUCAGUUCGGAUUGUAGGCUGCAACUCGCCUACAUGAAGCUGGAAUCGCUAGUAAUCGCGGAUCAGCAUGCCGCGGUGAAUACGUUCCCGGGCCUUGUACACACCGCCCGUCACACCACGAGAGUUUGUAACACCCGAAGUCGGUGGGGUAACCUUU
rnacentral:rRNA from 1 species